rnacentral:rRNA from 1 species
GAUGAACGCUGGCGGCGUGCCUAAUACAUGCAAGUCGAGCGAACAGAUAAGGAGCUUGCUCCUUUGACGUUAGCGGCGGACGGGUGAGUAACACGUGGAUAACUUACCUAUAAGACUGGGAUAACUUCGGGAAACCGGAGCUAAUACCGGAUAACAUAUUGAACCGCAUGGUUCAAUAGUGAAAGGCGGCUUUGCUGUCACUUAUAGAUGGAUCCGCGCCGUAUUAGCUAGUUGGUAAGGUAACGGCUUACCAAGGCAACGAUACGUAGCCGACCUGAGAGGGUGAUCGGCCACACUGGAACUGAGACACGGUCCAGACUCCUACGGGAGGCAGCAGUAGGGAAUCUUCCGCAAUGGGCGAAAGCCUGACGGAGCAACGCCGCGUGAGUGAUGAAGGUCUUCGGAUCGUAAAACUCUGUUAUCAGGGAAGAACAAAUGUGUAAGUAACUGUGCACAUCUUGACGGUACCUGAUCAGAAAGCCACGGCUAACUACGUG